AUUGAACGCUGGCGGCAGGCUUAACACAUGCAAGUCGAACGAUGACGGUACUGCUUGCAGUACCUAAUUAGUGGCGGACGGGUGAGUAACGCUUAGGAAUCUACCUAAUAAUGGGGGAUAGCCCGGGGAAACUCGGAUUAAUACCGCAUACGUCUUACGAGAGAAAGGGGGCUACUUGUAGCUCUCGUUAUUAGAUGAGCCUAAGUUAGAUUAGCUAGAUGGUGGGGUAAAGGCCUACCAUGGCGACGAUCUAUAGCUGGUCUGAGAGGAUGAUCAGCCACACCGGAACUGAGACACGGUCCGGACUCCUACGGGAGGCAGCAGUGGGGAAUAUUGGACAAUGGGGGCAACCCUGAUCCAGCCAUGCCGCGUGUGUGAAGAAGGCCUUUUGGUUGUAAAGCACUUUAAGUAGCGAAGAAGACCCCAUGGUUAAUACCCAUGGGCGAUGACAUUAACUACAGAAUAAGCACCGGCUAACUCUGUGCCAGCAGCCGCGGUAAUACAGAGGGUGCGAGCGUUAAUCGGAAUUACUGGGCGUAAAGCGAGCGUAGGUGGUCUAAUAAGUCAGAUGUGAAAUCCCCGGGCUCAACCUGGGAACUGCAUCUGAAACUGUUAAACUAGAGUAGGUGAGAGGGGAGUAGAAUUUCAGGUGUAGCGGUGUGCGUAGAUAUCUGAAGGAAUACCGAUGGCGAAGGCAGCUCCCUGGCAUCAUACUGACACUGAGGCUCGAAAGCGUGGGUAGCAAACAGG
rnacentral:rRNA from 1 species